rnacentral:rRNA from 1 species
UACCUACAGCUACGGCUACGAAGAGACCGACGAUGACUCCUACCGUCACUAGGAAAGUGGGUGGAUUUUAGUUUCUGCCACCACCCUUUCGUCGACCUCCUUUGUUCUUUCGCGUCAUUGAUGAAAGGAUACCAUGAACAACGCACGAACAACGACUAACGUGUGGGAUACCACGAACUACGGCUAACGUUACCGUUGCGAAGUAGAGGCGUCCGCUAGGUUCGACACGAGCAGUAGAUGUGAUCACAAUUUUGAUAUAAGUCCGCACUGAUAUACGUACGGUAAACACAUUAUCUUAUAAAUAUC